UUUAUUAAAAAAAAAGUGUAACUAACAAAAUAUAAGGAACAUUUAUUUGAGAGCUAAAUCUCAGACAUAGGAAGACAGGGUAGACAUUUGAAGUAUUGUGAAGAUAUUGCUGUUUUAGGCUGGUUUCUUCUCAUAGUUAGAUGAAGGCACCACUGUAAACCAUUAGCUAAGGUUUAGCCUUUUAAUCGUCUUUCCUUAAUGCCACACAUAGGAAGUUGUGUGCUAUUGUUUAGAACAGAGCAUUCAGUGCAGGUCCUUACUUUGAAUCUUUGCUUUGCAGCUGGCGGAGCUCUUUUGAAGGUUGUUUCGUUUGGCGGAAGUAGAGGUUGGUUGAUAAGGACAUACAAGCAUACAAGCAUCUUAUAAAGCUGAGAGGAUCUCUGGAUUAACUGUGCCUGAAAGACUGGCUUGCCUCAAGAGACCACUAUCUGACUGAGGAUUUUGUUGGGAGGAGUCACAUCAAAAGGCAAGGAAAGAUCUAGCAAAGAGACUCUUGACGAUCUUCUCCACGGAACAAACGCUACCUUGUAGUAAGAAGUUGGGGCGUUCCCAGGAUAUGCUGUGGUUGGCAGCUGUAAAUACCCCAAAUGACCAUUGACACUCAGAAACGAGGUCUAAGUGAUUCCAUUUGAAAUAUGAUUUCGAGCAGCACUUUUCAAAGCCUCAACAUUAUUUAGAAAAACUUUAUAAAAAUGCUGCCCCUGACAUCGCCCCCUCCCCCCCGGACCCCCAUGCAGCUGUUUGUUUUUUGCACAGGAAAAGGCAGGUUUUUCGCUUUUCUGAUUCAUCUUAAGAACAAACUACUCUAAAAUGAUUUAGAGAAUGUGGUAGAUCACUAAUCUCUCCAUGUUUAAUAGGAUAAUACAAACCGAUAGAGCUUCAGUUACCCAAUAAGGAAAAGAUCUUCUGCCAUCAUGUGGAAUGUUGGAGAAUCUUCGGCUUGAUCUUUCUGCUCCUUUGCAGGCUACCCUGCGACAGGAAUUACAGUUUUAGACAGAGGUGACGCUUGGAGCACAGGGAAGAGUGGUUAACUGAGGAAAUGUUUUUCCAAAAAUUACAUCUUGAUAGUACAGAUUUCACGAGACAGAUUUAGGGAAAACCGGACAGAACAAAUAAACAAAGUGAAAAGGAUUACUUCAACCUGAAAAACAUAGGAAACAGAAGAUGAUUUCCUGGUCUCAUCUCUUCUUUUUCUACAAGGGAUUUUUUUAAAGGGCAAAAUACCACUAUGUUACAUGCCUAUUUUUUAUUACUGUUAUUAGUAUGAGUGCUAUUAGUGUCAGAAAAUACUAAAACCCUAAUCAGGGUUACUGAUGCUCUCUUACUUUCUUUCAACAAUCUAUUCUCAUCUCAGCAUAGUUAUUAAAGACGUUUUUUUUCUGUUUUCCUCUCCCAAAUUUCCAUUUUUACCGGUUUUCAAGAGAAGCGGCAAGAUGACCCACUUCUCUGAAAUAAAGGUCAGAGAGGGACCUCCUGCCGACAGAGUGAAAAGACUUGAUUUUUACCUGCCACGCAGGGACCCCAUUUCAAAGGAAUGUUUUUGACCUGGCUGUCAUUCACGCUUAAUUUAUAUGCUAGAGAGGAGCUUAACCAGAUGCCACAUAUUUCUUGCUGAAGUGAUUCAUCAUAUUCUACAAGCCAUACAAUCACCUCUCAAAAUGGGAAGAGAAAGUGGAAGAAAGACGACAGAAUUGGACAGCGUUCAACAAAAGUAGGAGUGGAUCCAAAUUAUCCUUUAUUAUUAGGGUGGGAGGAUGUCUGGAGCAGGGAAGACUGUUACCCACUGCUGCUGACUUUGCAAAUUCUUUUAUAAAAGUAAAAUUUCCUGGUUUUCUUCCCCCCUGGAGGAAAAUUAUCUAUACGUAGUUGGGCUUAUAAUGCAAUGCAAUUUCCCACUGCUUCUGAUUUUGCCCACAGAUUACAUCUCUUUCCUCCUGGAAAUGCCUUAUGGGAAACUCACUUUUUCUCCCAAAUUACACAACUCGAGAAGCAAAGGGGUUAAAGCUAUUUCUUUCGGUGAAGGGAAAGUUGUCUCCUGCACAUAUAUCUCAGUCACCAAGGAGAAAUGUUCCGCCAGAUUAGGUUGAUUGAAAAACUCAGCUGAUAAGGAAGAGAAGGAGGAAGUACCUGGCUCUGGGCCCCUCAUCCCUUCCUUGGUCACUCUAAUUUUAAACCGGGGCUCCCAACUCCCGUUUCCAGUGGGCUCAUCUCCAACAGAAUUAUAUACGAACGGCAAUGUAAACACCCAAAUCUCUACAUUUUUUCCCUUAAAUAUACACAAUCUAUUUUAAACUCA